CAUAGAAAGAAGAAGGAGAAAUAGAGAAAGAAGAAGUAGAAAGAAUAUUGAGAGAAAUAUUAGAAACAGAGAAAGUAGGAGAAAUAGAGAAAGAAGCAGCAAAAAGAAUAUUGAGAGAAAUAGAAGAAAAAGAGAAACGAGGAGAAAUAGAGAAAGAAGCAGCAAAAAGAAUAUUGAGAGAAAUAGAAGAAAAAGAGAAAGAGGCAGCAGUUAAAGAAACAGAAAGAGAGGUAGCAGAGUCCAGAUGUUUCAACUGCAAUAAGCAUUGCAGAAUGGGAAUGAGUUUUAAAUGCAGAUGCGAUCAUGUAUUUUGUAUCAAGCACAAACAUCCAGAGGAGCAUAAUUGUUCUUUUGAUCACAAGAGAUUUGGGUGUCAAAGUCUUGCCAAAAAAAACCCCAUACUCAAGCCUUCCAAGAUUGACAAACUAUGAUUUAAUUCUUGAUGUUAGAAUAGACUUUUAUGAUCUAUAUGUGUGCUUUUUGUCCAGAAAUGAUAUUUCUGUUGGUUUACUGUAUACCAAUUUUGCCCGUGGAUUUCUUGUUUUUUUUAGUUGAAAUUAUUCUUGCAACGAAUCAAAAUGAGCAUAUCAAAACAAAAUUAGGUCUCCGAAGUGUAGCCGUGUCUUUGUAAUGGACUGCGAUGGUGGGCACAUAAGGAGGUUGGUGUCUUGCUACAGGCAUGCUGUAUUUGGACGUGGCACUCUAGAAAUAGUUAAUGUGGCUUGCUUGUGCUUUCACAUUUUCUAUGCACUUUGCAGGUGGCUUGUGCAUCACCUGUUUCAUCCCUCUUCAAUUUCCCCUAGGCUGUUAUUAUGACUGAUCUCUUUGAUUUCAAGAUCAUGUUUUCCGAUCUGAAGCUUCUUUCCAGAAUUUGAGCUACAGCCACUGAUAUGAUCUUCAGAUUUUGAGCUACAGCCAGUGAUAUCUAUAUAUUCUCUGAUCUGAAGCUUCUUUCCAAAAUUUCAUCCAUGAUCAUGCAAAGAAAUUUUGUUGAGUAAACCAGUCUGAGCGUAGCAACCUCCAGAUAAUCCAGCAGACGUUACCCCUUAGCGAAGCCUUAAGGGAAACCUGUCAUUAUAUAAAUUCAGGCCUCCUGGUUUUCGUCCCCCUCUGAAAAGCAAUCCCUUAAAAAAAACAGAAAACCCAAAAUCUAUCAUGUAGAAUCAUCCGUAAGAGAUAACAGUUUUUGUUUUCGUUUUUAUUAAAUGGAAACCCUAGAAAAAAAUAAAAGAGAGAAAAAUGUGCCUUGAUUAUCCUUCCACAUUUUGCAUACAUGUCUGCGUCCACGCAAGUACAGAUGGUUUCAACAAUAUUUCCUGAUGCUACCAGUCAAAGGUUUAAAACUCGCCAAAGGAGAUUGCAGAGGAAUUGAAAGUCUUUCUUUGAAUGUCUGCUAAAAAAUAAGACAAUGUCAAGAUUUCCUCCUGUUGUGCUUCGCUUCAGAUAGUUCGGCUCCUGCCAUUAAUUCCCAUUAUCGACUAACUGCUCGAUAUCCUCGGUUCCUGCCAUUGUUUGCCAUUAUCCACUAAAUGCUCUAUAUCUUGGGCUUAGCCGGUUACCCCAUGCUUUACAGAGGCCUGCUUUUCAAUUGCCCGGCUCCUCUCAAUGCAACUGUUUUUAUAAUGUUUAUGAUCAUGCACGCUGGCAUGCAAUAUCAGCGCACCAGCCAGGUGGUUGCAGGCAAAGGGAAAUUGCAUCAUGCAACCUUCUGAAUCAUAUGAGUGGUCUCGAAGUGAUUAACAUGUUGUUGUUAUCUCUGUUUUUGCUAUACAAUCAAUCAUAAUUGCACCGAGCAAGAGCAGUUUUAUAGUAGCUACAAGUUUCUGGGUCUGAAAGCUUUUAUCAUUGUUCUUUCUCCAUCUCCAAAUACUACAUGGAUCUCUUCCAAAGGAAAAUAAGAGUUUGAACAUCUUCCAAAAGAAAUUUGAGUUUUUUUUUCCAUAUUUUUGUCACAUUCAGCACUUGCCUUAACAAAUUUCUGGGUUUGAAGCCUUUAUCAUUUUUCUUUCUCCAUCCACAAAUACUACAUGGAUCUCUACUUUUAUGAACAUCUUCCAACAUUUUUCUUUCUCCAUCCACAAAUACUACAUGGAUCUCUACUUUGAAAUAAGCUAUGAACAUCUUCCAAAGGACAAUAAGAGUGUGUUUUUUUGCCAUAUUCUGCACUCAGCCUUUAUCAUUGUUCUUUCUCCAUCCAUAAAAUUCACUCUGAAGCCUCUAUCAAUGUUCUUUCUCCAUUCACAACUUGAAUUUUUUUUUUGAUCGGUAAAGGCAGAGUCAAAUUAUAUUGAUUAUAUAGAAUUUACAGAGCAAUGGUUUUUUUAGCAGAAUCCAA